rnacentral:lncRNA from 1 species
CCUGGGGCAGCUCCCUGCAGGCUUCAAGAGCCUCAGUGCCCUCAGGUCCCCAUUCCGGUGGUGCAGAGCUGGGCUCACAGCUGGGAUCCCUUCUGCCACCCCGGGGACAUUCCGUCCUUCUCCGUGCCUCAGUUUCCCCACCUAUAACACAGCUCAGGACCUGCAAACGGCAAAGCAGAGCUCAGCAGAGCAGAGCUCAGAGCUCAGCAUCACUGGAUGGAGGAACCCAUGGUUGGAUCAUUUAAGUAGGAAAGGAGGGCAUUUAAAUACAGGAAAAAAAAACAAUGGAAUGUGAAAAGCUCAUGGACCUGCCCUGAAUUAAAGAGGCCUCCGAGGCAGCAGCAUGGCAAUGGUCUUCAUCCUGGGAAGGACCCCACCAUGAACGUUUGCUUUCUCCUCUUUGGAGUCUCAAGCCCUUGAAAUCCUGCUUAGUGACAUCGAGGAAGGAAAUGAC